rnacentral:lncRNA from 1 species
GGAAACUGGGCAACACUUCCCGAGCUCCGUUUGAGCUCUUUUAUACACCAUUUGCAAUGAUUCAAAAGCCAAAAUGAAGCUUAGGAUGAGAGGAAGAGAUUCAUACCAUUUUGGAGCCAUGUGGUAGUCGAAGUUGGCCGGAAAAUUGCCUAGAAAGUAGGGGGUUUCACCGAAAAACUAGGAAAGUGUCCCUGAGUAGUUUCUUCAUAGUUUCGACAUCUAAAACAUGUACAAAGGAGUUAGUCUUCAACCUAAGAAGAGGGAAAGAUGAUGAAAAAGGGUUUAGAACCAUACCCUCUGCCGUAACUCGUCAGGGAAGACGGUGAAAUAUGCCUCGGUCACUGUUGGGGUACACUGCUUCAAGCCUGGGGUUUCGAGGUCGUGAUGCUCGGAUGGUGGUGGUGGUUAGGUGGGGAGUUUCGUCGAUGUGGUCAUGUGUGUGUGAGUUUAACUUGGAGGGAGAGAGGGGUUGCAGCGAGGGAGAAAGAGAGAAAAAAAGGGUCUGAGAGUUGUAUGGUUUUAAGAGAGAGACAUGGAGAGAAGGAGUGCAAAAGAGAGAGUGGGCCGGGGGACCAUAAAGGAAAGUAGGCUCCACAUGGCACACCAAACAAGAUCCAAAAGCAACCAUUUCAAAAUAUCUCCCAACCAAAAUGAAAUUACAAAAUUGCCAUUUAUAUUCAUAAAAUCUGGGACGGGUCGUUACACAGGAACUCCAAGACUUAUAAGAAAUCUUAUUGUGUUCAUAUCCAGAUUAGAUCUCGUGUCUUCUGGCACAAGCAUGGUCAUACCAGCAGAGUCACUUGGACUUCGUCUAUUACCCUAAAAUAAGGGAUGUCACCACUGCUCUGUCUGAUCCAGCUCCACACGGAGCAAGUGAGUUUAUGAUUGGAUUUAUGAGGUUUCCAUUUACGUAUCAGCCUUACUUCCGCCCCUAGAAAACCAUGGUCCCACAUCUUUGAAAUAUCCUUCUCGUGGGCUAAAAGAACCAAAACCACCUUCAACUCAUUUAUUUGUACUUUCAAUUCACUAACAUCAUUUGUCUUGGGAUUAAGGGUGUCAGGUGUCGUAUUCAUUCCAAGUGCACAUAUAAGGAUAGUAUAAUUGCACAAGUAAAUGUGUCGAACCACAAAGACUAAUUAGACCUCUACAAAUUACUAGCUUUAAGUGAACCUAACUAAACAAUGAAAGUAACAAAUUGAAUGUAGUUUUUGCGCUAAAAAUGGAAAUAACUUAAAAUGCAAGAAAAAAUGUUACGCCGAAUGAUAUGUUGAUUGAGAAACAAAAGGAUGGUUCUGCAAAUUUCGAGUUCACCAUUACAAAACCAAUUCCAUGUUUGUAAAGUUAAGUCGUAUUCAAUUACCAACCUACUUCCAGAGUUCGUUUUACAUAUGUAUGAUCAGUCAUAUGAUGUGUGGUUUUGAUCAAAUUCUCCUACUCUGUACCUAAUUGGGAUGUGCAAUUUCAGUUACAAAUUAAGAGACAACAGCAUGCAAGAAAACAUCCAAGAACCUAAGAAAUUACACAACAGAAUGUUUGCAAAGCAUUUUCCUCAUUCAUUCACAUGUCCACCAAGAUUAAGCAUGAUGUAUACUAAAACCUUGAUCAAAUAAUCUGUAAGCAACCCUAACUGUGAUCAAUCAUUAAAAUUAACAAAAAAAUUUAACAAUAGAUUUAGUGAAUGAAACAAGAAACAGAUUGAUGAAUUCAAUACUUUAACUUAAAAACAUGGAUCAAUUGUGCAAGGCUACAUCGGAAUCCCUAGCUAUGAAUUUAGUUACACAUCAUGUUGAAGGUAAUUUUUUGUAAAAACAUGUUCAUUUAAGCAACAUCUAUAGCAUGCAAUUAACAAUUAAAAGGUGGAAUCAUGCUUGUAUGCACUUAAAACAAAACAUUGACCAUGAAAUUCAAAGCCUAAUAGUUAGGUGAAC